AGAUUGAACGCUGGCGGCAGGCCUAACACAUGCAAGUCGAGCGGUAGAGAGGUGCUUGCACCUCUUGAGAGCGGCGGACGGGUGAGUAAUGCCUAGGAAUCUGCCUAGUGGUGGGGGAUAACGUUCGGAAACGGACGCUAAUACCGCAUACGUCCUACGGGAGAAAGCGGGGGACCUUCGGGCCUCGCGCCAUUAGAUGAGCCUAGGUCGGAUUAGCUAGGUUGGUGAGGUAAUGGCUCACCAAGGCGACGAUCCGUAACUGGUCUGAGAGGAUGAUCAGUCACACUGGAACUGAGACACGUCCAGACUCUACGGAGCAGCAGGGGGAAUAGUUGGAC
rnacentral:rRNA from 1 species